rnacentral:lncRNA from 1 species
AUGUAUAGUCUCUUCUCUCUGUUUCUUUGCAAAAUCCGGUUCCUCAUCUCUCUAUCUUUAAAUACUACUAGACAGUCUCCCGGAAAUUUCUUUGGCCUACUUGACUUCAUUUUCAUUCUAUAUGCAUUUUGUAUUGUCAUUGCCACGUCUUCCUCCGGUAUUUCUAACCACUGUGCGAUUUCCUUUAUCAGUCUUUCUUUUAUAUUUUCAUUCUGUACUUCUGGAACUUGUCUCAGUCUUAAAUUAGUCUCUCUCUGUUUCAAUUCGUUCAUUGCAAUCGAAUCUUUUAUUUCUUCCUGCAUUUUGUUUAAUUCUAUAAUCUCUUUCAUUUCCUGUUUUGUCUUCUUUAAACCCUCAUCCACUCUCUUUGAAACCUCUUUAAUCUGUCCUUUCAGUUCACUGACUGUCUCCUCAAUCCUUUUAUCCAUUUUCCCAAUUUUGUUAUCCACCUGUUCUAUUUUUGUCUCUAAAUUUUUCUCACUUUGUUUUAUUUCUGCGAACAUCUUUAAUAUUUCUGUUCUGAAUUCCGUAUCUUGCUUUGAGGCUCUCCUUUCUGUUGGGGUACCCCCCUCUGCCCCCUUUUUUUGUGAGUGCGACAUUUCCCUGAAAAGCGAUAUAUAAUGUUUAUACCUAGUAAUUCCCGUGCACUUAUCCUCACAGUUACUGUUAUUGUUAAAUCUCCCACCAAGGUUAAGAGAUACCUCUUGGGGGAAAAAAGAUUGUUAACAGAGCGUAUAACAGAUUGACAAAACGUAUAACAAGUUGUUAACAAAACAUAUAGAACCCAAUUUUUCUAACCCCUCACCCGGCCGGUCAAAUCUUACAAUUGUCCUUACCCCCCUAAAAUUAGGGAGGGAUGAUUAUAUAUCAGCUCUGUCUUGUCUUUUUCUUGUCCUUAUUCGGACUAUUUCCACCACAACAAUGGGAAGCAGCGUUUUAGUUUAUAGUUCCGAAUAUAGUCCAAAGUACAGUCCCAAAAGCAGUCCUUUAAUUAAUAACUCUAAGUAUAGUCCACAGUUUCCUGACAAAAAUUAGAGACAAAGUCAGAUUAUAAUUUCACGUAGGUUCAAAGAUUUGGGUUCUGAGUUACCUGGAUUGCCUAUGUUAUCUUGUUUUCCCCUUCUGAAAAAACAAACGAAGGUACAGAGAUUGUUCAGUGGCUGGCAAUUUCUACAGGCCCUAUAGAGAGUUUCAUAUAAUCAAUCUGAUGGGGGGGGAGGUCUUUCUAACCCUCCGUUAAGCGCCACCUUAGUUUUCAGUUUCCUAUGUAUAAGGUUCUCAAACCGAAAUGGGGUCGGUGGUUAUCCUUCAAAAGUCAGCCAGGAAGCCAGCCAGGAAAACUUCAAAUUAGCCUUAGUUCUCUGUUUAAACAUUUUUUAGAGAUUAAGUUUCACGCCUGGAUUUUCCCCUUGCUCAGCGUUAAUAUGGCGUCGGAAGUUUCUCUUUGUAAAUUGACUUCUUUUACCGG